rnacentral:lncRNA from 1 species
AAGAAUAUAAGAUAUUAUUGUCUCACAAUCACUUGUGAUUAAAUCCAUGAAGUGACUCAAAUAGGCGUGGGUUGAAUCCAAUACUCGAAUCUUAUUCUAGGAGUACUCAUGUGAUUAAAUCCAUGAAGUGACUCAAAUAGGCGUGGGUUGAAUCCAAUACUCGAAUCUUAUUCUAGGAGUACUCAUGAACACUGCAGCCACCUUGUCCUAGACAAACUACAGACCCAUUCAUGGCAGUCUUGCCUCAAUACCUACUUCCAAAGUAGGAUCGAAUGUGGAUGGUUUGAAUAACCUAGUUAUUCGGGAAGUCAAAACAUGCAAAAUGAAACACAAGAAUAAUACUAAUCCAAUAUGGCCACAAAACUUUUGAGCCAUAUUGAUUACUCAUCAUUCAUUGUAUAAUGUUUUGAAUAAUCAACUUAAUACUUGAAUUGAAACAAUAGUUAUGUCAUGCUCCAAGCAUACACACUAUGUUUGUCUAAACGAUAGUUAUGCCAUGCACCAAGCAUGAACACUAUGUUUGUUUGUGGCCCUUAAUUUUUAAAAUAUAUCAAUUGAAAAACAUUUCAAUGAUGCUCAUUUCAAAAUUCCAAAUCC